GUGGGGAAUAUUGGACAAUGGGGGGAACCCUGAUCCAGCCAUGCCGCGUGUGUGAAGAAGGCCUUUGGGUUGUAAAGCACUUUAAGCGAGGAGGAGGCUACCGAGAUUAAUACUCUUGGAUAGUGGACGUUACUCGCAGAAUAAGCACCGGCUAACUCUGUGCCAGCAGCCGCGGUAAUACAGAGGGUGCAAGCGUUAAUCGGAUUUACUGGGCGUAAAGCGCGCGUAGGUGGCCAAUUAAGUCAAAUGUGAAAUCCCCGAGCUUAACUUGGGAAUUGCAUUCGAUACUGGUUGGCUAGAGUAUGGGAGAGGAUGGUAGAAUUCCAGGUGUAGCGGUGAAAUGCGUAGAGAUCUGGAGGAAUACCGAUGGCGAAGGCAGCCAUCUGGCCUAAUACUGACACUGAGGUGCGAAAGCAUGGGGAGCAAACAGGAUUAGAUACCCGGGUAGUCC
rnacentral:rRNA from 1 species